UACGUAGGGGGCAAGCGUUGUCCGGAAUUAUUGGGCGUAAAGAGCGUGUAGGCGGCCAGAUAAGUCCGCUGUGAAAUCUCGAGGCUCAACUUCGAGCUGUCGGCGGAAACCAUCUGGCUAGAGUCCGGAAGAGGAGAAUGGAAUUCCCGGUGUAGCGGUGAAAUGCGCAGAUAUCGGGAAGAACACCCGUGGCGAAGGCGGUUCUCUGGGACGGUACUGACGCUGAGACGCGAAAGCGUGGG
rnacentral:rRNA from 1 species